rnacentral:miRNA from 14 species
GUCCGGGCCCCACGAUCAUGGC